rnacentral:tRNA from 1 species
GCCGAGUUAGCUCAGUUGGUAGAGCAUUCGACUGAAAAUUGAAGGGUCCACGGUCCGAGUCCGUGACUCGGCACAA